AGUACUUCGGGUAUCGUUGAUUUGAGCUUAAGUGCUGUUUUCGCAGAAUCUACCGUCGACUGUUAGUAUUUCGGCUCGUUCUCCGCGUAGGAGCGUCGGAUCGCGACGAAACUUGGUUCAUUGGAUUCUAGACUUCGAGAGGAAUCCACAGAGCCCUCACUUGCAAUUUUUGGUCAAGCUUGGCGUUAGCUUGGCGACCGGACUUGGAGAUCCCCGAUUGAUCCAGCAGAGUUCCUUUUAGGCCGAGGCUUCGUUUGCUGCCAGGAGAUAGCACUUUAGAGCCACAGGUUCCGGCUGCUGCACCGUCUGCGGACCAGGAUCGAGGCAAGGGCGUCGCG